rnacentral:rRNA from 1 species
AUUGAACGCUAGCGGGAUGCUUUACACAUGCAAGUCGAACGGCAGCGCGGACUUCGGUCUGGCGGCGAGUGGCGAACGGGUGAGUAAUGUAUCGGAACGUGCCCAGUAGCGGGGGAUAACUACGCGAAAGCGUAGCUAAUACCGCAUACGCCCUACGGGGGAAACAGGGGAUUGUUAGAACCUUCAACUUUUGGGCGGCCGGAUAUCGGAUUAGCUAGUUGGUGAGGUAACGGCUCACCAAAGCGACGAUCCGUAGCUGGUUUGAGAGGACGACCAGCCACACUGGGACUGAGACACGGCCCAGACUCCUACGGGAGGCAGCAGUGGGGAAUUUUGGACAAUGGGGGCAACCUUGAUCCAGCCAUCCCGCGUGUGCGAUGAAGGCCUUCGGGUUGUAAAGCACUUUUGGCAGGAAAGAAACGUCGCGGGCUAAUACCCCGUGGAACUGACGGUACCUGCAGAAUAAGCACCGGCUAACUACGUG